GAAGAGACGGUCAAAUUAGUUGAGUACAUGGACAAGUUCUUUGCGCUUUGAACGUUUCUAACUGCGUAGAGGGGGUGCACAAAAGAAAAGAGUUUCAGUUGCCAUAUACUUCAGCCGACGACAACCGCCUUACAUGGCUGGAGAAAGUGUUUCUGCCUUAUCUAGAAGACUGGGAGAAGUGGGUAAAAUCCAUCCCCGACCUCACCACAACAGAACGCAACAAUAUGCUUCUCAGCUCAGAGACACGACUAGGAUUGAAAAUUACAUGCAAGUGGUUUAUUGAACUCGUACACUAUCUAUUCAAGAUACCAGACGUCCAAUCCUUCUUAAGCCAAAGAAUCUGUCAAGAUCCAUUAGAGAAUUUCUUUGGGUGCCAAAGACAACGAGGUGGUGUUCAUGACAUCCCAAAUGUUGAAGAAUUUACAAAGAACACCCAAGCCCUACGAGUCAUUAACUCUUUUUGCAAAGGACCAGCUCGUGGGAACUGUAUAGAGGUGGUAGUAAACGAAGUUCUACAUGACUGUACAGAUAGAGAGAACAUUAAUGAACCGUUACCCAAACGCAGAAGACUCAAACUCAAAACAUGCUGACUCA